GACGAACGCUGGCGGCGUGCUUAACACAUGCAAGUCGAGCGGAGCGGCGAACGGGUGAGUAACGCGUGAGUAACUGCCCCCCUCUCUGGGAUAACAGUUGGAAACGGCUGCCAAUACCGGAUCGUGGGGGUGGACUCGCGUCCUAUCAGCUUGUUGGUGGGGUAGUGGCCUCCCAUGGCCACGACGGGUAGCCGGCCUGAGAGGGCGACCGGCCACAUUGGUCGGAGAUACGGCCCAAACUCCAACGGGGGGCAGCAGUGGGGAAUAUUGCACGAUGGGGGAAACCCUGAAGCAGCAACGCCGCGUGCGGGAUGACGGCUGUCGGGUUGUAAACCGCUUUCAGCCAUGACGCGGUAGUGGCAGAAGAAGCACCGGCUAACUACGUGCCAGCAGCCGCGGUAAUAC
rnacentral:rRNA from 1 species